ensembl:lncRNA
AACAGUUUUCCCUCAUGUGAACCUACCAAUUAGUGGAUCUCUUUCUGAUGUACUUGGGCUUAUGUCUGGCCUUUUGGAAGAGCAUCGGGAUCAAAAGGAUUCAACAAGGAUGGAUGCCCUCUCUCCAGUUUGCUGAGACAGGGGUGUCACUCCUGCAGCAGCAAGAGACUUUUGCUUUGGCCAAGAAGCCAUCAAUAAUUUGUUUUCAUAACCAGCAGAGGGCGCCAGGGCCUGCAGUAUGGUUAACAAGCGGUGAAAUCAUCUAACCUUCAGGUGAUUUCUUGAGUUUGGAAAUUGGCAAGCUAACAAAUGCUUUAAAGAAGAAAAGUGGUGACUGCUAAAGAAAUGUAUUUGAAUUCUGAG